AUUGAACGCUGGCGGCCGGCCUAACACAUGCAAGUCGAGCGGAGCGGCGGACGGGUGAGUACUGCCUAGGAAUCUGCCUGGUAGUGGGGGAUGACGUCCGGAAAUGGGCGCUAAUACCGCAUACUAUAAGAUGAGACUAGGUCGGAUUAGCUAGUUGGUGGGGUAAAGGCCUACCAAGGCGACGAUCCGUAACUGGUCUGAGAGGAUGAUCAGUCACACUGGAACUGAGACACGGUCCAGACUCCUACGGGAGGCAGCAGUGGGGAAUUUUGGACAAUGGGGGAAACCCUGAUCCAGCCAUCCCGCGUGUGCGAUGAAGGCCUUCGGGUUGUAAAGCACUUUUGGCAGGAAAGCGGUACCUGCAGAAUAAGCACCGGCUAACUACGUGCCAGCAGCCGCGGUAAUUC
rnacentral:rRNA from 1 species